CUACGGGGCGCAGCAGGCGCGAAAACUUUACAAUGCACGAAAGUGUGAUAAGGGAACCCUAAGUGCUAAUACUUUGUAUUAGCUUUUGCCAAAUGUAAAUAGUUUGGCGAAUAAGUGGUGGGAAAGACUGGUGCCAGCAGCCGCGGUAACACCAGCGCCACAAGUGGGGAUCAGCAUUAUUGGGCCUAAAGCGUCCGUAGCCGGUUUAGUAAAUCUUAUGUGAAAUUGGUGCGCUCAACGUAACGAAAUGCAUAAGACACUGCUGAACUUGGAACCGGGAGGAGUAAGAAGUAUUCUUGGGGGAGCGGUAAAAUGUUAUAAUCCCAAGAGGACUACCUGUGGCGAAGGCGUCUUACUAGAACGGAUUCGACGGUCAGGGACGAAAGCUAGGGGAGCGAACCGGAUUAGAUACCCUGGUAGUC
rnacentral:rRNA from 1 species